GACGGAGGGUGCAAGCGUUGUUCGGAUUGACUGGGCGUAAAGGGCGUGUAGGCGGUCGGCCAAGUCUGAUGUGAAAGCCCGAGGCUCAGCCUCGGAAGUGCGUCGGAAACUAGUCGGCUGGAGCGCGAUAGAGGAGGGUGGAAUUCCUGGUGUAGCGGUGAAAUGGGUAGAUAUCAGGAGGAACACCGGCGGCGAAGGCGGCCCUCUGGAUCGUUGCUGACGCUGAGACGCGAAAGCGUGGGGAGCAAACAGG
rnacentral:rRNA from 1 species